GGAGGGUAUAGCUCAGGUGGUAGAGCAUAUGCUUAUCAUGCACAAGGUCCUGGGUUCAAUCCCCAGUCUCUCCA